rnacentral:rRNA from 1 species
UACGAGGGGGGCAAGCGCUAUCCGGAUUCACUGGGUUUAAAGGGUGUGUAGGCGGGCUAUUAAGUCAGUGGUGAAAUCUCCGGGCUCAACCCGGAAACUGCCAUUGAUACUAUUAGUCUUGAAUAUUGUUGAGGUAGGCGGAAUAUAUCAUGUAGCGGUGAAAUGCAUAGAUAUGAUAUAGAACACCGAUUGCGAAGGCAGCUUACUAAACAAUUAUUGACGCUGAGGCACGAAAGCGUGGGGAUCAAACAGG